rnacentral:rRNA from 1 species
AUUGAACGCUGGCGGCAGGCCUAACACAUGCAAGUCGAAUGGUAACAGGAAACAGCUUGCUGUUUCGCUGACGAGUGGCGGACGGGUGAGUAAUGUCUGGGAAACUGCCUGAUGGAGGGGGAUAACUACUGGAAACGGUAGCUAAUACCGCAUAACGUCGCAAGACCAAAGAGGGGGACCUUCGGGCCUCUUGCCAUCAGAUGUGCCCAGAUGGGAUUAGCUAGUAGGUGGGGUAACGGCUCACCUAGGCGACGAUCCCAAGCUGGUCUGAGAGGAUGACCAGCCACACUGGAACUGAGACACGGUCCAGACUCCUACGGGAGGCAGCAGUGGGGAAUAUUGCACAAUGGGCGCAAGCCUGAUGCAGCCAUGCCGCGUGUAUGAAGAAGGCCUUCGGGUUGUAAAGUACUUUCAGCGGGGAGGAAGGGAGUAAAGUUAAUACCUUUGCUCAUUGACGUUACCCGCAGAAGAAGCACCGGCUAACUCCGUG